GACGAACGCUGGCGGCGUGCCUAAUACAUGCAAGUAGAACGCUGAAGAGAGGAGCUUGCUCUUCUUGGAUGAGUUGCGAACGGGUGAGUAACGCGUAGGUAACCUGCCUGGUAGCGGGGGAUAACUAUUGGAAACGAUAGCUAAUACCGCAUAAAAUUGAUUAUUGCAUGAUAAUUAAUUGAAAGAUGCAAUUGCAUCACUACCAGAUGGACCUGCGUUGUAUUAGCUAGUUGGUGAGGUAACGGCUCACCAAGGCGACGAUACAUAGCCGACCUGAGAGGGUGAUCGGCCACACUGGGACUGAGACACGGCCCAGACUCCUACGGGAGGCAGCAGUAGGGAAUCUUCGGCAAUGGGGGGAACCCUGACCGAGCAACGCCGCGUGAGUGAAGAAGGUUUUCGGAUCGUAAAGCUCUGUUGUAAGAGAAGAACGGGUGUGAGAGUGGAAAGUUCACACUGUGACGGUAUCUUACCAGAAAGGGACGGCUAACUACGUGCCAGCAGCCGCGGUAAUACGUAGGUCCCGAGCGUUGUCCGGAUUUAUUGGGCGUAAAGCGAGCGCAGGCGGUUAGAUAAGUCUGAAGUUAAAGGCUGUGGCUUAACCAUAGUAUGCUUUGGAAACCGUUUAACUUGAGUGCAGAAGGGGAGAGUGGAAUUCCAUGUGUAGCGGUGAAAUGCGUAGAUAUAUGGAGGAACACCGGUGGCGAAAGCGGCUCUCUGGUCUGUAACUGACGCUGAGGCUCGAAAGCGUGGGGAGCAAACAGGAUUAGAUACCCUGGUAGUCCACGCCGUAAACGAUGAGUGCUAGGUGUUAGGCCCUUUCCGGGGCUUAGUGCCGCAGCUAACGCAUUAAGCACUCCGCCUGGGGAGUACGACCGCAAGGUUGAAACUCAAAGGAAUUGACGGGGGCCCGCACAAGCGGUGGAGCAUGUGGUUUAAUUCGAAGCAACGCGAAGAACCUUACCAGGUCUUGACAUCCCUCUGAUCGCUCUAGAGAUAGAGUUUUCCUUCGGGACAGAGGUGACAGGUGGUGCAUGGUUGUCGUCAGCUCGUGUCGUGAGAUGUUGGGUUAAGUCCCUCAACGAGCGCAACCCCUAUUGUUAGUUGCCAUCAUUCAGUUGGGCACUCUAGCGAGACUGCCGGUAAUAAACCGGAGGAAGGUGGGGAUGACGUCAAAUCAUCAUGCCCCUUAUGACCUGGGCUACACACGUGCUACAAUGGCUGGUANCACGAGUCGCAAGCCGGUGACGGCAAGCUAAUCUCUGAAAGCCAGUCUCAGUUCGGAUUGUAGGCUGCAACUCCCCCUACUGAAGUCGGAAUCGCUAGUUAUCGCGGAUCACCACCCCCCGGUGAAUAGUUUCCGGGGCCU
rnacentral:rRNA from 1 species